UACGGAGGGAGCAAGCGUUGUCCGGAAUCAUUGGGCGUAAAGCGCGCGUAGGCGGCCCUGUAAGUCCGUUGUGAAAGUCAAAGGCUCAACCUUUGAAAGCCGAUGGAUACUGCAGGGCUAGAGUCCGGAAGAGGCGAGUGGAACUGCGAGUGUAGAGGUGAAAUUCGUAGAUAUUCGCAAGAACACCAGUGGCGAAGGCGGCUCACUGGCCCGAUACUGACGCUGAGGCACGAAAGCGUGGGGAGCAAACAGG
rnacentral:rRNA from 1 species